rnacentral:tRNA from 1 species
GGAGAGAUGGCCGAGUGGCUUAAGGCGCGUGAUUGCUAAUCACGUGAAGGGCUCAAAGGCUCUUCCGAGGGUUCGAAUCCCUCUCUCUCCG